UUGCUUUGAUGGAUGGCGACCGGCGCACGGGUGAGUAACACGUAUCCAACCUGCCGACAACACUGGGAUAGCCUUUCGAAAGAAAGAUUAAUACCGGAUGGCAUAGUUUUCCCGCAUGGGAUAAUUAUUAAAGAAUUUCGGUUGUCGAUGGGGAUGCGUUCCAUUAGGCAGUUGGCGGGGUAACGGCCCACCAAACCAACGAUGGAUAGGGGUUCUGAGAGGAAGGUCCCCCACAUUGGAACUGAGACACGGUCCAAACUCCUACGGGAGGCAGCAGUGAGGAAUAUUGGUCAAUGGACGAGAGUCUGAACCAGCCAAGUAGCGUGAAGGAUGACUGCCCUAUGGGUUGUAAACUUCUUUUAUACGGGAAUAAAGUGAGCCACGUGUGGCUUUUUGUAUGUACCGUAUGAAUAAGGAUCGGCUAACUCCGUGCCAGCAGCCGCGGUAAUACGGAGGAUCCGAGCGUUAUCCGGAUUUAUUGGGUUUAAAGGGAGCGUAGGCGGGUUGUUAAGUCAGUUGUGAAAGUUUGCGGCUCAACCGUAAAAUUGCAGUUGAUACUGGCGACCUUGAGUGCAACAGAGGUAGGCGGAAUUCGUGGUGUAGCGGUGAAAUGCUUAGAUAUCACGAAGAACUCCGAUUGCGAAGGCAGCUUAC
rnacentral:rRNA from 1 species